CUUCGAUUUAUUUAUCCUGCCACAGAACAAUGCUGGCGGCUGCUGCUGCUGCUGCUUUGCUUUGUACUAGUACUACUAUCUUGACAAAUACUAUCUCCGUGCCAGUACGCCAUGCCAGCACCUCACCAAAAGAUACAGGGAGCACAAAACACGUUCUACACCAAACAAUCAUCAGAUUCACUAAACCCUACUCUGUUCUUCAUCAUGGAGAGCAGAGGACGAACAAGUACAAAAAACACAUGUACGAGGACUCUUGGCUAACUAAAUUACCUAGCAGCUGGUUUUUUCUUGACGAAACAAGAGCGAUGACCUGUAAUCGCCAUAUACGUAAAAUCCUGCAUAUCAGUAGAACGACACGGCUAGGGAAGUGAGCGCGUGAUGGUCAUGGCACGCAGACGCUGCGGGACGGCUGCGCCGUCCUGUCGACGGCGAAGAGCCUGCGGAAGAGCCUCAGCAGGAGCGCCCACCCAGCCGCCGCCCCGCCGCCGCGGCCGCGCCGUCGGCCGCGGUGGCUGGCGCCGGCGCCGCAGAACUGGCCCGCCC
rnacentral:misc_RNA from 1 species